rnacentral:rRNA from 1 species
ACGGAAGGCAGCAGUGGGGGAUAUUGCACAAUGGGCGAAAGCCUGAUGCAGCGACGCCGCGUGAGGGAAGACGGUUUUCGGAUUGUAAACCUCUGUCUUCGGGGACGAAAGAGGACGGUACCCAAGGAGGAGGCCACGGCUAACUACGUGCCAGCAGCCGCGGUAAUACGUAGGUGGCAAGCGUUGUCCGGAUUUACUGGGUGUAAAGGGAGCGCAGGCGGGACAGCAAGUUGGAUGUGAAAUACCGAGGCUUAACCACGGAGCUGCAUCCAAAACUGUUGUUCUUGAGUGAAGUAGAGGUAGGCGGAAUUCCGAGUGUAGCGGUGAAAUGCGUAGAUAUUCGGAGGAACACCAGUGGCGAAGGCGGCCUACUGGGCUUUAACUGACGCUGAGGCUCGAAAGUGUGGGGAGCAAACAGGAUUAGAUACCCUGGUA